rnacentral:rRNA from 1 species
UACGUAGGGGGCUAGCGUUGUCCGGAUUUAUUGGGCGUAAAGAGCGUGUAGGCGGCCAGGUAGGUCUGCUGUGAAAACUCGAGGCUCAACCUCGAGACGUCGGCGGAAACCAUCUGGCUAGAGUCCGGAAGAGGGGAGUGGAAUUCCUGGUGUAGCGGUGAAAUGCGCAGAUAUCAGGAAGAACACCCGUGGCGAAGGCGGCUCUCUGGGACGGUACUGACGCUGAGACGCGAAAGCGUGGGGAGCGAACAGG